UACGUAGGGGGCAAGCGUUGUCCGGAAUCAUUGGGCGUAAAGCGCGUGUAGGCGGCUCGAUAAGUCUGCUGUGAAAGUCCAAGGCUCAACCUUGGGAUGCCGGUGGAUACUGUCGAGCUCGAGUCCGGAAGAGGAGUGUGGAAUUCCUGGUGUAGCGGUGAAAUGCGCAGAUAUCAGGAGGAACACCAAUGGCGAAGGCAGCACUCUGGGACGGGACUGACGCUGAGACGCGAAAGCGUGGGGAGCAAACAGG
rnacentral:rRNA from 1 species